rnacentral:rRNA from 1 species
GAUGAACGCUGGCGGCGUGCCUAACACAUGCGAGUCGAACGGAGUCCAGCCUUUAAGACCUUCGAGUCAAAGAGGGGAAGACUGAGUGGCGGACGGGUGAGUAACACGUGGGCAACCUGGCUCAUAGAGGGGGAUAACAGAGAGAAAUUUCUGCUAAUACCGCAUAAGCACACACUGCCGCAUGGCAGAGGGUGAAAAGAGAAUCGCUAUGAGAUGGACCCGCGUCUGAUUAGCCAGUUGGCAGGGUAAGAGCCUACCAAAGCGACGAUCAGUAGCCGAUCUGAGAGGAUGAACGGCCACAUUGGGACUGAGACACGGCCCAAACUCCUACGGGAGGCAGCAGUGGGGGAUAUUGCACAAUGGGGGGAACCCUGAUGCAGCGACGCCGCGUGAGUGAAGAAGUAUUUCGGUAUGUAAAGCUCUAUCAGCAGGGAAGAUAAUGACAGUACCUGAAGAAGAAGCCCCGGCUAACUACGUG